rnacentral:rRNA from 1 species
AGUCGAACGAAGCGCUUAAACGGAUUUCUUCGGAUUGAAGUUUUUGCGACUGAGUGGCGGACGGGUGAGUAACGCGUGGGUAACCUGCCUCGUACAGGGGGAUAACAGUUAGAAAUGACUGCUAAUACCGCAUAAGCGCACAGUGCUGCAUGGCACAGUGUGAAAAACUCCGGUGGUAUGAGAUGGACCCGCGUCCGAUUAGCUAGUUGGUGGGGUAACGGCCUACCAAGGCGACGAUCAGUAGCCGGCCUGAGAGGGUGAACGGUCACAUUGGGACUGAGACACGGCCCAAACUCCUACGGGAGGCAGCAGUGGGGAAUAUUGCACAAUGGGGGAAACCCUGAUGCAGCGACGCCGCGUGAGCGAAGAAGUAUUUCGGUAUGUAAAGCUCUAUCAGCAGGGAAGAAAAUGACGGUACCUGACUAAGAAGCACCGG